rnacentral:rRNA from 1 species
ACACUCCUGCGGGAGGCAGCAGUGGGGAAUAUUGGACAAUGGGCGCAAGCCUGAUCCAGCCAUGCCGCGUGAGUGAUGAAGGCCCUAGGGUUGUAAAGCUCUUUCACCGGUGAAGAUAAUGACGGUAACCGGAGAAGAAGCCCCGGCUAACUUCGUGCCAGCAGCCGCGGUAAUACGAAGGGGGCUAGCGUUGUUCGGAUUUACUGGGCGUAAAGCGCACGUAGGCGGACUAUUAAGUCAGGGGUGAAAUCCCGGGGCUCAACCCCGGAACUGCCUUUGAUACUGGUAGUCUUGAGUUCGAGGGAGGUGAGUGGAAUUCCGAGUGUAGAGGUGAAAUUCGUAGAUAUUCGGAGGAACACCAGUGGCGAAGGCGGCUCACUGGCUCGAUACUGACGCUGAGGUGCGAAAGCGUGGGGAGCAAACAGGAUUAGAAACCCCUGUAGUCCCAUGAU